AGCGAACGCUGGCGGCAGGCCUAAUACAUGCAAGUCGAACGGACCCUUCGGGGUUAGUGGCGGACGGGUGAGUAACACGUGGGAACGUGCCCUUUGGUUCGGAACAACUCAGGGAAACUUGAGCUAAUACCGGAUAAGCCCUUCGGGGAAGGAUUAUCGCCAUUGGAGCGGCCCGCCGUCUGAUUAGCUAGUUGGUGGGGUAAAAGGACCUACCAAGGACGACGAUCAGUAGCUGGUCUGAGAGGAUGAUCAGCCACACUGGGAC
rnacentral:rRNA from 1 species